rnacentral:lncRNA from 1 species
AUGAGUAAGGACAGGCAGGAGACACCUGCAAGGAUCAGGGAGCAGCAGCUGGGGUCUCUGAAGACCAAAGACAGAGAAACUGAGGCCCACGGAGAGGGGACAACUGUGCCAGGAAUGGCUCCUCCUGCGACCCAAAGCAGGAUUUCCUCCUUCUGGAAUACUAUUCUUGUCCCUAACUUCUGCAUGAAAAAAGUGAAGCACAGGAAGAAGGUUCAUUAGCCUGUCCACACAGUGAAAGCACCCUCAGCAUGUAGCCCAGGCCUUGGGUACCAACGACUAUGUGUGCACUAACAACUACCUCAUACUGCUUCUAGGUAAGUGUUGUUCCAGUGGUCCCCAGCCAGCUGAGCUGCCUCUGCUUCGUUUAAAAGAGAAGUUCUUCCCUAAUGGGGGGUCCCUGUGGGGCUCAGCCCUGUCUAUGGGGUGUUUAGCAGGAUACUUAUGGGAGCCUAUGCAGGCAGCAAUAACCAACGUCUUAGCAGAGGGACUGGAUAUUUUGUUUUUUAUUUAAAAUGUUUACAUUUAUUUAUUUAUUGUCUGUGGGUAUUAUGUAUGUGUGUGCACAUAUGCUUGGCACAUGAAUGGAGAGAUCACAGGACACCUUGCAGGAGUUAGUUUUCUCAUUUCACCAUGUGGGUCCUGAGGAUCAAACUCCGGUUGCCCAGGCUUGACAGCAAGCACUUCUACCCACUGAGCCAUCACAUCUCCCCAAAAUUUCUUACGUUGUUAUGUGACAGUGUAUAAUAUUCCAGGUGGACCACGGGGUAGCUGAAGCUGACGAUGAAUUUGAAGACCUGAUCAUCCUUUGUCUUCCACCUCUGCAUUGGCUUUGAUUGGCUGUCACCCAUGUUGGAGUGGGCUUUGGUGAUGCAGCUGUCUUUGAGGCAUUUCUGCUGCUGCUAGUAGCCCCUCCCCCAUACUCCUAUAAGUAACCCCCAUAAAUUUGUUGGUUCAUUAAAUUGAACUUUGGUGGUAUCCUUACUUUGUUCUGUCAUUCUCUGCCUGAGUGAGGAGACGUUUGUUCUCAGAAUAGGAUCACACAGUGAGAGCCACCAUGGCUACCUGAGUUCAGAUCUCCAUCACUCACCUAGGUUAAGCAGGCACUGCUGACCAUUCUCAGUAUUUCCAGCAUCAUUUCCUUCAUGGAGCAUCCCUAGUGAGUCUCUUUCACAAAGUCAAAUCGAGGGUGCUUAUCACACUCAAUCACAGCAGACAAGCUAGGUGUCCUCAUAGCCACAUAGCCUGUGAUGGCUAAUGUUGGUGGUCAACUCAACCCAACUGAAAUCAUCCAGAAAAUCUACAACUCACAUUUCUGGGUGUCUAUGAGGGUAUUUCCAGAGAAGCUUGGUGAAUUGAGUGGGAAGACCUGCCCUAAAUACAGUAUUGCCUACUAGGGUGAAACCAUAGCAGCCAAAUGAUCCCAGGAGACGGGUCCUUCGUGGUCUGUUGCCCUGGUUUGUACUCUUAAGGUAAAGAAACAGAGGUCACCAGAAGCUACUGUCUUCCUCUAGUGGGCCAACUACCCAGAGCAGGAGCUGCUGGUCAAGUCUCUGCCCUUCUCUGCCCCUUUAACUGGGGCCUUACCUGUCAUUCGGUGGCCACACUCCACAGUCCCCAUGGGACUCUCCUUGUGCUCUAAGCUGUGAGGAGCAGCUGCCCAUGUGUCAUGUACCAUCAGCCUAGCUGGCUUUCUAUUCAAGCUCCUGUUCCCUGCAUGUCCUCCUCUCCUAACUGACUGAGGCUUCUGGAGGAUCAAAGCACCCAGUGGUCAUUGCUGACUUCUGCUUUGGCACAGGUAUAACCCCAGCUUGUUGUUGAGUGACUUAUUGGAAGGUGGACAAGUUUAGCCAGGUACUUGUCAUUGAGCUGCCUCAAACCUGCAGGGCCCAGUAUGUCUGGGUGUCCUGGAUGGCCUCUGUCCUCACUCCAUUCCCACCUCAGAAUGAGAGCUAGCAUCCUAUCAGCACCCUACUUCCUGUCCUAAGCCAUCCCUGAGUUCAUCAGUAAACUGGGAAGAUUUUGCUGAGAGGCUGUGUCCUGGUCUGAAUUCUCCCCAGUUUUACACAGUGAAAUCCUGAGGGCCUGGGAGGUUGGGGAGGUGGUUCUUCUGUCUUGACUCAGGAAUGGAUUAGUGAUCCUAUGAAGGAGACCUGGGGAUUCCAUGAUGGCAAGAUAGCCAUGGAGCACAGCCACCCUCGGUGGGCCCUCAGCAUCUACAGGAGUCCUGACACUGAACCUGCCUCCAGAACCAUAAGAAAUAAAUUUCUGUCAUAAUUAAUAAGCCA